GCCGGGGUUGCAUAGCCUGGCUUAAUGCGCUGGACUCAUGAGCCGGAUAGAGAUCGUGGGUUCAAAUCCCACCCCCGGCA
rnacentral:tRNA from 1 species